AUUGAACGCUGGCGGCAGGCCUAACACAUGCAAGUCGAACGGUAACAGGAAGCAGCUUGCUGCUUUGCUGACGAGUGGCGGACGGGUGAGUAAUGUCUGGGAAACUGCCUGAUGGAGGGGGAUAACUACUGGAAACGGUAGCUAAUACCGCAUAACGUCGCAAGACCAAAGAGGGGGACCUUCGGGCCUCUUGCCAUCGGGUGUGCCCAGAUGGGAUGAGCUAGUAGGUGGGGUAACGGCUCACCUAGGCGACGAUCCCUAGCUGGUCUGAGAGGAUGACCAGCCACACUGGAACGGAGACACGGUCCAGACUCCUACGGGAGGCAGCAGUGGGGAAUAUUGCACAAUGGGCGCAAGCCUGAUGCAGCCAUGCCGAGUGUAUGAAGAAGGCCUUCGGGUUGUAAAGUACUUUCAGCGGGGAGGAAGGGAGUAAAGUUAAUACCUUUGCUCAUUGACGUUACCCGCAGAAGAAGCACCGGCUAACUCCGUG
rnacentral:rRNA from 1 species